rnacentral:rRNA from 1 species
AUGCGAUACUUGGUGUGAAUUGCAGAAUUCAGUGAAUCAUCGAAUCUUUGAACGCACAUUGCGCCCCCUGGUAUUCCGGGGGGCAUGCCUGUUCGAGCGUCAUUUCACCACUCAAGCCUCGCUUGGUAUUGGGCAACGCGGUCCGCCGCGUGCCUCAAAUCGACCGGCUGGGUCUUCUGUCCCCUAAGCGUUGUGGAAACUAUUCGCUAAAGGGUGCUCGGGAGGCUACGCCGUAAAACAACCCCAUUUCUAAGGUUGACCUCGGAUCAGGUAGGGAUACCCGCUGAACUUAAGCAUAUCAAUAAGCGGAGGA